UUGGGAAUAUUGCACAAUGGGGGAAACCCUGAUGCAGCGACGCCGCGUGAGUGAAGAAGUAUUUCGGUAUGUAAAGCUCUAUCAGCAGGAAAGAAAAUGACGGUACCUGACUAAGAAGCCCCGGCUAACUACGUGCC
rnacentral:rRNA from 1 species